GUACUUGUUUUUGUCGUUGUUCUUUUGGUCGCUCUUACUGGAAUAAUACCUUUUUAGUCAUGUAGCCUAUGCAACGCGAAUGGGUCUAGUGACUGCAGAAACUUCAUCGUUAAGAGAUCAGUUUAACAAGCAAGAGAGAGGCAUUAUUCACCAGACUGCCCAGCCCUGUCCACCUACUUGCAAGACCUGCCCACCCACUUUCUCUGACCACCCUGAGGAUGUAUCCAUGUUCCAUGACUGUUUCCUGUUCCUCUCUUCUCGCCCUUCUCACAGCCUACCCUGAACCGGACAUCAGGUGACCUCAGCUUCUGCCCAUGAAAACACUACUCUGCAAUUCCUUGACUUGACACUUUUGUUUUCAUCAUCUUAAUGCUAAGACUUUUGUUUAUUUCUUCUUGUUUUGUUUUUUUGCGGCAGAAGUUGUUUUCAGUGAGGGAAGCUUUCACCUGUGAGGUCACACGUGCUCUCUGUAGACCGCAGCACCACACACAUGAUGAUAAAAUGUUGGCGUCCAUCUUAACGGGCUCCCCCCUUUUGUGUUCACGCGGGUGCCCAGAGCAGCGCCUUGUUUAGAGGAAGUUUCUUGACGUGACCAUUUUCAAGGAAUUUCCCUCACGAGCCUGCAGUUGUGAACUAGAAUUUGCGCUGCUCGUCCUGCGUCUCUCAAGAAGGUCGCAAUCAGCACUGGACUGGGAAUCCAAAUGCUUAAUCAGCCGCUACUCCCACAGUUGUCUGAACUUGUUCCCUCUUAUUAAAAUUCAGGGACACUUUAUUGGAAUGACAGAUGCUUGCAUCGCCUAAGCACUGAACACUUGAAAAGUGCUGGAUCUGUGUCUCUCUCCCUGUCGGCCCUGAUCUCCAUCCACUCCCCGCAUACGUCGGUCGCCCGUCUGCCUCCGCCUGCGCACAUGCCCACUGAUUCGCAGCAGUAUCUGCGCAGGUGCUCUUCUGUGAUAGAUCGCGUUCAAGAUGACGGAAAAACCACCAGAGACAGGAGAUUAGGUGUCAUCGCUCCACGUGCCCUUAUAAAGACUGCCGUGUCGUCUGCUACACCAUGACUGCUGUCAACUAUAAUCUGCAAUAAAAAUGUCCGGAUUAUAUAGUAAUUUAUCCUUUUCUGCUUUACUCUUAUGAGGACACAUCUGGAAGGCAGAUGUUUAUCCCAGAACAAGUUCUCCGUCUCUGUUUUCCUCUCUGUCUCUUUUUCUCUGUUGCUUCCUUCUCUCUUUCUUUAAAAAAAAAAAAAAAAAAAGCCCAACAGCACCACUUAUCCUAACUCCCCCCCAUCUCUUCUUCUAAGGGGGGGGGGGACCACCCACAUUCGGAAACGCCUCACCACCCUGCCAGCGGGAGCCGUGCCAGUCCUGGGCAGAGGACUGGGGGGAGCGAGGAGCUCUCUGUGUACAGGGAUACCAGGAGAAACAGGAGGAGAAAGCACACAGGAGGGAAGGAGGGAGGGAGGGAGGCAGGCAGAGAGAUUCCAUUUAAUGGUAUCCCCCCCCCCUUUUUUUUGCUUUUUAAAUAGUGAAUUCAGAAUCGACAUUUCAGGACACUUUGUAAAAGUCUGUUUAAAGUUCAUGUUCCACUUCGCGUUCCCCCUAAAAUUGCCCCCAUUAAUUCAGCUUUUGCUAGUUAUCUUUUAGGCUAUAAUUUGCCAGGGCUUUUUAUAGACCUUACAGUAAGUGGACAGGACUUAAGCUUGGGCAGAACAAGCUUGCCGACGGUGGCACAGCGGGUUUGCAGUGAGACACCUCAGGGGGGGCUGUUUAUGACACGCAGCCCCGCCGGGUUAUAUGCAGUGAGAGAGAGCUUUUGCAUGCAUUGGAUGGAUAUAUGCUUACAGUUAGCCAGAAACCAAAACCAUUCAGUUUUUCAAUAUUUAUUCCAUCCAUCCAUCCAUCCAUUUUCCAUACCAGGCGGAAUCAGUGGUUCAUGAUGAGCCUGAAUCUGAGCCUGAAUUGACAUUAGAAAUAAUCACUUAUUUCUAUGAAUUUACAGUUGCAUGAAUUAUAUUAAUAUGAUGAAGUAGCCUUUGCAUAAUCUUAAGAUCUGUCAUGUUUUUAAUGUGCGAAUGCAUUUAUUCGCGGAAACCUCCGUACUGUCCGUUGUGAUUCUCAAAUGAUUCUCAACCCAUGGGUCGCGAACCAAAUUUGGGCCGCGGCAAGUUCUGAAAGGAUCACGAGGCAAAGUUGGCAUUUUAUAAGCAUUUUAAAACCAGCAAGAUCCACGAUCAGAUUUCUCAGUCCCAAUCCUCGAAUUACCCCUAUAUAAACGGGCAAAUGCUUAGUGCAAAACUAGUGAACGCUCAACCAAUCCAAGAAGCCAAACCACAGAUGCUUAAUUUAAAAUUCACUGGCACAUCCAAUCGGAUUUGUGCAAUAGGCAUUGA